CAAAGCUGGUGUAUAGGACCAGCAUGUGAGAGAUGAACAGCGGCAGCUGCUGUCUGUUACGCUCUUUCAAUGAGUUGUGAGUGCAAGCAGAGCAGAAACUGGCUACUCUUUAGUUGACUGACCUAGCUGGCAAGGAUCAGAUGGUGACAGGUGUUCCAGCAGGAUCAGACAACCAGGGAAGACCAGUCUACGGAGCUCAGGUGAAUUUUGCUGUAUAUUAUAACAAUCAGCGAAUGGAUACAAAGUUCCAUCUCGAGUUGAUGGCUACAGUCUGGGAUCAGGGAAUAAUGCUUCCAGAAGGGUUGGAUGAACACCCAGGAGCCCUCAUUCCCCGUCCCGUCCAGGGUGACCCGCAUGGCGUUCUUCUCCAGCAGGGCAGGCAGACGCUUAUUCACAGUCAGAGAUUACCACGAGCCCGUCCUCCCCAGUUAAGGUGCCACCAACCUCCUGUGCUCAACAGUGCUGCUGAUAAUGCAGACCUUACCUGAAUGUGUGCUGCUGGGAAUGCAGACCUUACCUGAAUGUGUGCUGCUGGGAAUGCAGACCUUACCUGAAUGUGUGCUGCUGGGAAUGCAGACCUUACCUGAAUGACAGUGCCAUAUUUUACUACAUCGCCAUGGACCUUCUUGUUUUCGGUCUCGUUCUGUUUUUGCUCCAGAUUAGAGGCAUGCUGUGAAGAACAAGGAAAGGUUUAAUCAGUGUCCAAUGUACUGUUUCUAUCCUGAUGGUAUGAUCCUUGUUCUACUGUUUCUAACCUGAUGGUAUGAUCCUUGUUCUACUGUUUCUAACCUGAUGGUAUGAUCCUUGUUCUACUGUUUCUAUCCUGAUGGUAUGAUCCUUGUUCUACUGUUUCUAUCCUGAUGGUAUGAUCCUUGUUCUACUGUUUCUAACCUGAUGGUAUGAUCCUUGUUCUACUGUUUCUAACCUGAUGGUAUGAUCCUUGUUCUACUGUUUCUAUCCUGAUGGUAUGAUCCUUGUUCUACUGUUUCUAUCCUGAUGGUAUGACCUGUGUUCUACUGUUUCUAACCUGAUGGUAUGAUCCUUGUUCUACUGUUUCUAACCUGAUGGUAUGAUCCUUGUUCUACUGUUUCUAUCCCGAUGGUAUGAUCCUUGUUCUACUGUCUCUAACCUGGUGGUAUGACCCUUGUUCUACUGUCUCUAACCUGGUGGUAUGACUCUUGUUCUACUGUCUCUAACCUGGUGGUAUGACCCUUGUUCUACUGUCUCUAACCUGGUGGUAUGAUCCGUGUUCUACUGUUUCUAACCUGAUGGUAUGACCUGUGUUCUACUGUUUCUAACCUGAUGGUAUGAUCUGUGUUCUACUGUUUCUAGCCUGGCGGUAUGACCCUUGUUCUACUGUUUCUAACCUGAUGGUAUGAUCUGUGUUCUACUGUUUCUAGCCUGGCGGUAUGACCCUUGUUCUACUGUCUCUAACCUGGUGGUAUGACCCUUGUUCUACUGUCUCUAACCUGGUGGUAUGAUCCGUGUUCUACUGUUUCUAACCUGAUGGUAUGAUCCGUGUUCUACUGUUUCUAACCUGAUGGUAUGAUCUGUGUUCUACUGUUUCUAGCCUGGCGGUAUGACCCUUGUUCUACUGUUUCUAACCUGAUGGUAUGAUCUGUGUUCUACUGUUUCUAGCCUGGCGGUAUGACCCUUGUUCUACUGUUUCUAACCUGGCGGUAUGACCCUUGUUCUACUGUUUCUAACCUGGCGGUAUGACCCUUACGAUACAGUGUGGUGCCUGGUCUUCUUCCUGGAGUGGAUUCUUGGAGAGAAACAGAUUUUCUUUGCCUGCGUGUGUCGUUGUAGCAGAACUGUAUCCUGUGAACUGUAUUCUUCUCGAUGGAUUGGACAGAAGACGACUCAAGAGGAGCUGUUGUUUGAUGGCAGUUUGGUCAUGACAACACUCCUCCCACAGCUGUACAAGUAUUCCCCGAACUCACUGUAUGUACUGUACCUUUAUAAUGGCAAUUUCCUCAUGACCACCUCUCCCAUCAUCUGCUGAUCACCACUUCUCUUAGUCUUCGUCGUCGAUUCGUCUCAUAAAGUGUCUGUGUCCAGUGGCAAGGGAUCAGUUUGAAUUUAGAAAAGUUAUUAAAAUAAAUAAUUUUUUUUUGCUCCAUGAAGUAAUCCAAGAUGUCUGUCAUCAUGACAUGUGACACUUUGUGGUGGACACCCACCUGUUUCGAUCAAUGAGAGAAGAUUUGAAAUAAAUAAAAUGGCAGCGUACACUGUUGGAUUACUUCGUUAUUUAGGGACAAUGAGGGACAUUGGGAGCUGUUUUUGAGAGGAAAGAUCAGUCAACAAAGUGAAUGGGGUGGGGGAGCUGAAGAAGGUGUGAAACGUCUUAGGAGGACAGUUCUUACACAUUAUGUUUUGCUGGGAAAUUGAGGAGAAAUGCCACCUUUUAAUUGUUCUCAUACACAACAAUACAUUGACUGUCUCUAAGCACAACCGAAUCGCCCUUCCUAGUCUCAAAGACCUGUCUUUAAACCUCCCUCAGCCCAUUGACUUUGACAAAUCGUUUGUGUCAAUAGUAGUCCUUGGCAGAGGAUUUUUGUAGAUGUGUCUUUGUAUUGUGUUUUGAGAAUCUGUAGAGAGAAGAAUGUGGUGGUUGUGUCAUUACUGUUGUGGUCUUGAUGUUACACCUUGCAGUGUCCUUUGCCCGUUUCUGUCCCACAAUCUUGUUGUACUCCAUAACCGCAAGGUGUGUCCGCUCCCUCGUGCACAAAAUGCCCACGCUUUGUAUUUUUUUCAGCGGAGUGGACUCCAGAUAACCUGGAGUUUUACAAAGGGAAAAGAGAUGACAUGGUCUGGAAGGUUCUCUGUGGUCCUCAGUCUACAUCUAACCACCUGUAACCCCACAACACAAACCAUACAAACAUGCUUACUGUAAAUCUUAGCCGUCAGCUUGUACAUAUUUUGAAUCAAUUUACCUUAACCAGAGCUAAUGGAAUGGUGGAAUCAGAUUAUGUACCACCUACAACAAAACACCUAACAAUACACAAUUUAACCACCCUACUAAUUGUAUUGAUCUCUAUUAGACUGGGUAGCUUAGCAUACCUAUCAUGGAUUUGUCAGUACUGUCAGCUUGCUGUUAGCUAAUUAGCAUCAGCUGAGAACCAACUAACCAACCAUAGACAAUUUAUACACAUUCAUCAUUACUACCAACACACCGAGAGUGAGUUAGCUAUAAUCGACAAUUCUAUUUUUAGUAACAGAGUGUUUUCCAGACAAGGGUGUAAUAGAUGGCUACCAGAUUGAGUUACUCUUAUUCGCUAACGUUCGCUAGCUUACAUUCGCUAACGUUAGCCAAACUGGUAUUGCAUCACUUCCCAGCUGUCAUUUAAACGUAUUCCCCAUCCAGUCAGCCUGAAAAUCCCUCUGAUAAUCUUUGGCUGUAAGCAUCAUUUUUGAUAGCUGCAAACAACUGGCAGCAUCGGGGUAUAUUUCUGGUAGGUAGCUAGUACGGUGAAAGAUAACUUAUUUUCACAUUUGUUUGUAGUUAGCACAGCCAGACAGAACACCACUCGGGCAUGAUGACAAACAUUAGUGAAAAAAAAAAACGUAAACUUUUUUUUAGUUCUGAGACUACUAUGUGUUGGUUGUUCGAAGUAAACAACGCUAUAAACCAAGUUUGUGGGCACGCCCCAUCUAUCUAGCGGAGUGGUAUCAGCAUUUGCUAUAUUUGCUGGACUUAAUGCUUCACUGUGAGCAGCCAAAUACACAGGAAGCUGAAACUUCCUGAUUCUACCAUUGAAAUGAAAUAGUGCUCUUUCUAGCUUGUGGUUUGGAUAAUUUUGAUGUUUAUGACAAAAACAUAAUGUUGUUAAUAUAGUCAUGACUAAUCUCAGCAAAAAAAGAACGUCCUCUUACUGUCAACUGCGGUUAUUUUCAGCAAACUUAACAUAUAUAUACAAAUAUUUGUAUGACACUAACAAGAUUCAACA